AAGGCCACACGUGUGCACGCCCUUGGCUCAGCCCCAAGCUGGCGCUUCUCCAGCAGAAGGUGUCCCUCUUGCUUAAGUGCUUCUGCCUGGUGAAUACUUGGAACAUUUCGGGUGCCCUCCCUGGCCCCUUUUAGUUAAAUUCCUCUGUAGCAAAAGCAUAACAAAAUAAUUGCAGUGACCUUCCGCUCAGGAGCCCUCUAAACAGCUCCUGAUAGAGGCACUUUCAGAGAUCCAUUCUCUGCCCGCCCUGGGAUCUGCUGCCCUUGGUUUCCGGUUGGUUCACCUAAAGGGAGGCCCAGCAGGAGACUGCAGUGUGCGAGGGCGUGAGAUGAGGUAUUGGCCACCUUGGACCCUCCAUGGUGGCCUCGACAAGCGUCUGGCAGGCUGUGGGCCCGACUGCCACGUCUGCUGCAACCAUAAGGUUUGGUAUCUUCUUACACAUCAUUUUGGGUAAUGUUCCUCCCCUACUCAACAACUUUCUAUGUCUCUCCAUUAUGAAUGCAAAUUCCAAACUCUUGACUUGGCAUUCAAGGCUCUCUACAAGCUACUUUCAAUGGAGCUUUCUAGCUUCCUUUGUUACCACCCCCAGCACGAACUCUGUGUUCCUUUCAGGCUGGCCUGCUCCCUCACUGCCCCCAGAAUGGCCCUGCUCUGUUGGGGUUGGCGUCCUUUAUUCUAACAGCCCCCCACGUGGGAUGUGCUUUCUCUCUUCCUCCCUGUGAGGCUCUUUGCCGUUAAGUCCUCUCAGUUUUCCUCGGCCCCCAGUCCUUUCUCCCCUCUGAACUCUGAGGCGUGGUCAGCACCCUCGGAGCAUGUGUCCUGCUGCCUCAUGUGAUGAGUGACCUCCUCACAUGUUUAUGUCUCCCGUGCUGGGGCGGGGUGAGUUGCUGAAUUGCAGCUACCCCUCCCCUCCCUUCCCCUGCUGUGUCCUCAGAAAGGGCCAGGAGCAGAGC